GACGAACGCUGGCGGCGUGCUUAACACAUGCAAGUCGAACGGGAUUUAGUAAACAGAAACCUCGGUGGAAGAUUACUAAUGAGAGUGGCGAACGGGUGAGUAACGCGUGAGCAACCUGCCUAUGACAGUGGGAUAGCCUCGGGAAACCGGGAUUAAUACCGCAUAAAAUCGUAGAAACACAUGUUUUAACGGUCAAAGAUUUAUCGGUCAUAGAUGGGCUCGCGUCUGAUUAGCUAGUUGGUGAGAUAACAGCCCACCAAGGCGACGAGCAGUAGCCGGUCUGAGAAGAUGAACGGCCACAUUGGAACUGAGACACGGUCCAAACUCCUACGGGAGGCAGCAGUGGGGAAUAUUGCACAAUGGGGGAAACCCUGAUGCAGCGACGCCGCGUGAACGAAGAAGGUAUUCGUAUCGUAAAGUUCUGUCCUAUGGGAAGAUAAUGACAGUACCAUAGAAGAAAGCGCCGGCUAAAUACGUG
rnacentral:rRNA from 1 species